rnacentral:rRNA from 1 species
UACAGAGGUCUCAAGCGUUGUUCGGAUUUAUUGGGCGUAAAGGGCGCGUAGGCGGCGGGGUAAGUCGGGUGUGAAAUCUCAGGGCUCAACCCUGAAACUGCACUUGAUACUGCUCUGCUUGAGGACUGGAGAGGAGACUGGAAUUCACGGUGUAGCAGUGAAAUGCGUAGAUAUCGUGAGGAAGACCAGUGGCGAAGGCGGGUCUCUGGACAGUUCCUGACGCUGAGGCGCGAAGGCUAGGGGAGCAAACGGG